AUGCCGCCUCCAUCAUUGCUACUUUGCCACAAACAACAGCAGCUGUCACUGAGCCUCUGGUACACACUCUGCCUCAAGGUAUUAACAUCAACACACAGCACAGAAGCAUCCCCGUAACCAAGACUAUGGAAGAGAUGAUGGAGGAACUUGCUAAAGAACUCCGUCACGAGAUCCAGGCCAAUCGAGGGAAUGCAGACUCUGUCAAAACUCAAGACCUUUGCUUAGUGUCAAAAGUGGAUGUUCCUAAAAAGUUCAAGAUUCCGGACUUCGACCGGUACAACGGGCUAACUUGUCCUCAAAAUCACAUCAUCAAAUACGUCCGGAAGAUGGGCAAUUACAAAGACAAUGAUUCCCUUAUGAUCCACUGUUUUCAGGAUAGUCUGAUGGAGGAUGCCGCAGAGUGGUAUACUAGUUUGAGUAAGAAUGACAUCCAUACCUUUGAUGAGUUAGCCACCGCUUUCAAGAGCCAUUAUGGGUUUAACACUCGACUGAGGCCAAAUAGGGAGUUUCUCAGGUCCCUAUCUCAGAAGAAGGAGGAAAGUUUCCGUGAAUAUGCGCAAAGGUGGAGAGGGGCGGCUGCCCGUAUCACUCCUGCUUUAGAU
rnacentral:lncRNA from 1 species